rnacentral:tRNA from 1 species
GUGGCUAUAGCUCAGCUGGUUAGAGCAUCGGUUUGUGGUGCCGAGGGUCGUGGGUUCAAAUCCCAUUAGCCACCCA